rnacentral:rRNA from 1 species
AAUACCGGACGGCAUACGAAUAUCGCAUGAUAUUUUUAUUAAAGAAUUUCGGUUAUCGAUGGGGAUGCGUUCCAUUAGUUUGUUGGCGGGGUAACGGCCCACCAAGACUACGAUGGAUAGGGGUUCUGAGAGGAAGGUCCCCCACAUUGGAACUGAGACACGGUCCAAACUCCUACGGGAGGCAGCAGUGAGGAAUAUUGGUCAAUGGGCGAGAGCCUGAACCAGCCAAGUAGCGUGAAGGAUGAAGGCUCUAUGGGUCGUAAACUUCUUUUAUAUGGGAAUAAAGUUUUCCACGUGUGGAAUUUUGUAUGUACCAUAUGAAUAAGGAUCGGCUAACUCCGUGCCAGCAGCCGCGGUAAUACGGAGGAUCCGAGCGUUAUCCGGAUUUAUUGGGUUUAAAGGGAGCGUAGGUGGAUUGUUAAGUCAGUUGUGAAAGUUUGCGGCUCAACCGUAAAAUUGCAGUUGAAACUGGGAGUCUUGAGUACAGUAGAGGUGGGCGGAAUUCGUGGUGUAGCGGUGAAAUGCUUAGAUAUCACGAAGAACUCCGAUUGCGAAGGCAGCUCACUAGACUGUCACUGACACUGAUGCUCGAAAGUGUGGGUAUCAAACAGGAUUAGAUACCCUGGUAGUCCACACAGUAAACGAUGAAUACUCGCUGUUUGCGAUAUACAGUAAGCGGCCAAGCGAAAGCAUUAAGUAUUCCACCUGGGG